rnacentral:rRNA from 1 species
UGGGGAAUAUUGGACAAUGGGCGAAAGCCUGAUCCAGCAAUGCCGCGUGAGUGAUGAAGGCCUUAGGGUUGUAAAGCUCUUUUACCCGGGAAGAUAAUGACUGUACCGGGAGAAUAAGCCCCGGCUAACUCCGUGCCAGCAGCCGCGGUAAUACGGAGGGGGCUAGCGUUGUUCGGAAUUACUGGGCGUAAAGCGCACGUAGGCGGCUUUGUAAGUUAGAGGUGAAAGCCUGGGGCUCAACUCCAGAAUU